AUAACGUGGUUUCCUAUGGAGAUGCGUUACCCACAGCGCUAUAGGAAACAGCGCUAUAGGAGGUCGCUAUAACGUGGUUUCCUGCGGAGAUGCGUUACCCACAGCGCUAUAGGAAACAGCGCUAUGGGAGGUCGCUAUAACGUGGUUUCCUAUGGAGAUGUGUUACCCUACAGCGCUAUAGGAAACAGCGCUAUAGGAGGUCGCUAUAACGUGGUUUCCUGUGGAGAUGCGUUACCUUACAGCGCUAUAGGAAACAGCGCUAUAGGAGGUCGCUCUAACGUGGUUUCCUGUGUAGAUGCGUUACCCACAGCGCUAUAGGAAACAGCGCUAUAGGAGGUCGCUAUAACGUGGUUUCCUAUGGAGAUGCGUUACCAACAGCGCUAUAGGAAACAGCGCUAUAUGAGGUCGCUAUAACGUGGUUUCCUGUGGAGAUGCGUUACCCACAGCGCUAUAGGAAACAGCGCUAUAGGAGGUCGCUAUAACGUGGUUUCCUGUGGAGAUGCGUUACC